GGGGGUUUAACUCAGUGGUAGAGUGCUCGCUUCGCAUGCGAGAAGCCAAGGGUUCAAUCCCCUUAGCCUCCA